rnacentral:rRNA from 1 species
AGUGAACGCUGGCGGUAGGCCUAACACAUGCAAGUCGAACGGCAGCACAGUAAGAGCUCGCUCUUACGGGUGGCGAGUGGCGGACGGGUGACGAAUACAUCGGAAUCUACUUUUUCGUGGGUGAUAACGUAGGGACACUUACGCUAAUACCGCAUACGUUCUACGGGUGAAAGCAGGGGAUCCUCGCACCUUUCGUGAUAGAAUGAGCUGAUGCCGGAUUAGCUAGUUGGCGGGGUAAAGGCCCACCAAGGCGACGAUCCGUAGCUGGUCUGAGAGGAUGAUCAGCCACACUGGAACUGAGACACGGUCCAGACUCCUACGGGAGGCAGCAGUAGGGAAUAUUGGGCAAUGGGCGAAAGCCUGAUCCAGCAAUGCCGCGUGAGUGAAGAAGGCCUUCGGAUUGUAAAGCCCUGUUAUUAGGAAAGAAAAAAAGCGGGUUAAUACACGGCUGUUUUGACGGUACCCAAAGAAUAAGCACCGGCUAACUUCGUG